rnacentral:rRNA from 1 species
ACCGGAGUACUAUGAAUACUAUAAAUUUAAAACUCAAAGAACUUGGCGGUGUUUUAGACCACUCAGGGGAACCUGUCUCGUAAUCGACAAUCCACGUUGUACCUGACCUUUCUUUGUUCUCAGUUUGUAUACCGUUGUCGUCAGGUAACUUUUUAGAAUGUAGAAGUUGGCUGGAGAAAUAAAUGAUUUAGUACGUCAAAUCAAGGUGCAGCUAAUAGAAAGGGGAGGAUGGGUUACAAUUAUUUAUUUAUAAUUACGGAUUAUUAUGUUAAAGCGUAAAGAUAAGAAGGAGGACUUGAAAGUAAAUUAAAUUUAUAAAAAUAAAUUUGAAUAAGGCUCUGAAACGUGU